GAUGAACGCUGGCGGCGUGCCUAAUACAUGCAAGUCGAGCGAACGGACGAGAAGCUUGCUUCUCUGAUGUUAGCGGCGGACGGGUGAGUAACACGUGGAUAACCUACCUAUAAGACUGGGAUAACUUCGGGAAACCGGAGCUAAUACCGGAUAAUAUUUUGAACCGCAUGGUUCAAAAGUGAAAGACGGUUUUGCUGUCACUUAUAGAUGGAUCCGCGCUGCAUUAGCUAGUUGGUAAGGUAACGGCUUACCAAGGCAACGAUGCGUAGCCGACCUGAGAGGGUGAUCGGCCACACUGGAACUGAGACACGGUCCAGACUCCUACGGGAGGCAGCAGUAGGGAAUCUUCCGCAAUGGGCGAAAGCCUGACGGAGCAACGCCGCGUGAGUGAUGAAGGUCUUCGGAUCGUAAAACUCUGUUAUUAGGGAAGAACAGAUGUGUAAGUAACUAUGCACAUCUUGACGGUACCUAAUCAGAAAGCCACGGCUAACUACGUG
rnacentral:rRNA from 1 species